rnacentral:misc_RNA from 1 species
AAAUCCGUUCUCGAGAGAAUCACUUCUCCGCAGAAGCAGCCACCAGACGCCGAUUCUGAAUCUGACGCAUCGAUUCCUGGUCCGCUUCACGACGGCGGCCCCGUUGAGUACUCCCUUGCGGAGUCUGAAUCCAUCCUCAGUCCUCUGAUUAACGCGUGUAGCACCGGCUUCCUCAAGAUCGUUGAUCCAGCCGUUGAUUGCAUCCAGAAAUUAAUCGCCCACGGUUACUUACGCGGCGAGGCAGACACCAGCGGAAGCACCGAGGCGCAACUCUUGUCGAAAUUAAUUGAAGCCGUUUGUAAAUGUUACGAUAUUGGUGACGAGGCCAUUGAGCUCUCGGUGCUUAAGACGCUUCUAUCGGCUGUUACAUCAAUUUCGUUGAGGAUUCAUGGUGAUUGCUUGUUGCUGAUAGUGAGGACUUGUUACGAUAUCUAUUUAGGGAGCAAAAAUGUAGUAAACCAGACGACGGCAAAAGCAUCGUUGAUCCAAAUGUUGGUGAUUGUUUUUCGGAGAAUGGAGGCAGAUUCAUCAACAGUGCCGAUUCAACCGAUUGUUGUUGCUGAAUU